rnacentral:rRNA from 1 species
UACGAAGGGGGGCUAGCGUUGCUCGGAUUGACUGGGCGUAAAGGGCGCGUAGGCGGUUCGUACAGUCAGACGUGAAAAUUCCUGGGCUCAACCUGGGGGGCUGCGUUUGAUACGUGCGGGACUUGAGUGCGGGAAGAGGGUCGUGGAAUUCCCAGUGUAGAGGUGAAAUUCGUAGAUAUUGGGAAGAACACCGGUGGCGAAGGCGGCGACCUGGUCCGAUACUGACGGCUGAGGCGCGAAAGCGUGGGGAGCAAACAGG